UACGAGACGCAGUAUUCUAGUCAGGACGCACGGCAAAGAGGGCGGGGUUAAAAUAUCGCCGAAGGGCACAUCGAUGAAGUUUCUUGUGUUGGCUUGUUAUGCCCAAUAGCGGGCUGAUGCUGGAAGUUAAGGUUGGCGGGCGAGCGGUAAUGGCAUACCGUAAGCGACCCACCUACCGUGGAGACCUGUUGCGGUGGGCGUAAAACCGCCUACUGGGCAGGAUUAAACCUGCAUUGUGGUGACUGUUGCUAUGUGCAGUGUAGCCUGCCUUGCGUGAUUUGGGUGGAUGAAGAACAACGGUAGCGGCUAGGCAUAGCCGUAACCCGAUCGCUUCUGAAACCCCCGUUGCAAAAGAGGCUAAGUGUCUUGCGGACUGUUAAGGAAAUCUUCUAGACUGAGCGACAAGGAUUAUAGUGUAUACUCAGUGGCGAUUCGGUGCCGUCUACGAAACAGGCGGGUCGACGGUCAAAGGGAAACCGCUCAUACGGCGACGGUGAGUCGGUCGACGGGAAAACCUACCGAACCUAAGGUGCAAGGUUUACUUGCCGCGUUGUCUCGU
rnacentral:sRNA from 1 species